UUGGAGGGCAAGUCUGGUGCCAGCAGCCGCGGUAAUUCCAGCUCCAAUAGCGUAUAUUAAAGUUGUUGCAGUUAAAAAGCUCGUAGUUGAAUUUCGGGAUCAGACUGUCGGUCGUGCCUCGGUACGCACUGGCAUUAUUGGUUCCUACCUUCUGAAGAACCGCGAUGUCAUUAAUUUGGUGUCGCGGGGAAUCAGGACUGUUACUUUGAAAAAAUUAGAGUGUUUAAAGCAGGCGCACGCUUGAAUACAUUAGCAUGGAAUAAUGAAAUAGGACGUUUGAUUCUAUUUUGUUGGUUUCUAGGAUCGACGUAAUGAUUAAUAGGGAUAGUUGGGGGCAUUAGUAUUCAAUUGUCAGAGGUGAAAUUCUUGGAUUUAUUGAAGACUAACUACUGCGAAAGCAUUUGCCAAGGAUGUUUUCAUUAAUCAAGGACGAAAGUUAGGGGGUCGAAGACGAUCAGAUACCGUCGUAGUCUUAACCAUAAACUAUGCCGACUAGGGAUCGGAUGAUGUUAAUUUUAUAAUGACUCAUUCGGCGCCUUACGGGAAAC
rnacentral:rRNA from 1 species